UCGCUUAACUUGUCAGACCAGCACAUCAGCAAGCUCGUCAGAUUCUGGGAAGUGUGCAGACGACCCGAGUUGAGCAGCCUCUCUCCUUCUAAGAUCCCCAAGUCACCCCAAGGUCAUUCUCCCUCAUGUCCACCAUGAGAGAGCCUGAAAAAGUGAACAAGUUGGAACCGGUAAUGGGGGAAAUAUUUGACCUUCCUCCACCAUCCUGGGAAUAAGUGUGGCCCGAGACUGAUCAAGCAUCUUCAUUUUUAUGAAUGAUUUCCCCACCCCUUCUAUGGCAUCUUUAUUCUGAAUAUAAUAAAAGUGACAAAAUUGAAACCUUUACAUAUGUUUUCUCUUUUUAAAUUGUUUUUUAAAGGACUAGGCCAAUUU